GACGAACGCUGGCGGCGUGCUUAAUACAUGCAAGUCAUAGGGGCUAAUUUCCUUCGGGAGAUUGGUCACUGGCGCACGGGUGCGUAACGCGUAAGUUAUCUGCCCUUGGGUCUGGCAUAACGUCGGGAAACCGGCGCUAAUUCCAGAUGAUAUCGUAAGAUCAAAGCCUUCGGGCGCCCAAGGAUGAGCUUGCGUCUGAUUAGCUUGUUGGCGGGGUAAUGGCCCACCAAGGCAACGAUCAGUAGCCGGUCUGAGAGGAUGAUCGGCCACAUUGGGACUGAGACACGGCCCAGACUCCUACGGGAGGCAGCAGUAAGGAAUAUUGCGCAAUGGACGAAAGUCUGACGCAGCAACGCCGCGUGCAGGAUGAAGGCCCUUUGGGUUGUAAACUGCUGUAGAAAGGGAAUAAUAGUUUGCCACGGGUGAACUUGAAGGUACCUUUAAAGUAAGCGCCGGCUAACUACGUGCCAGCAGCCGCGGUAAGUCGU
rnacentral:rRNA from 1 species